GACGAACGCUGGCGGCAUGCCUAACACAUGCAAGUCGAGCGAGUUGAUUUCUUCGGAAUGAAGCUAGCGUCGGACGGGUGAGUAACUCGUGGGCAACCUGCCUCAUCGAGGGGAAUAGCCUCCCGAAAGGAAGACUAAUCCCGCAUAAGAUUGUAGUACCGCAUGGUAUAGCAACUAAAGGAGUAAUCCGCAAUGCGAUGGGCCCGCGGCGCAUUAGCUAGUCGGUGAGGUAACGGCUCACCAAGGCGACGAUGCGUAGCCGACCUGAGAGGGUGAUCGGCCACAGUGGGACUGAGACACGGCCCAGACUCCUACGGGAGGCAGCAGUGGGGAAUAUUGCACAAUGGGGGAAACCCUGAUGCAGCAAUGCCGCAUGAGUGAUGACGGCCUUCGGGUUGUAAAGCUCUGUCUUCGGGGACGAUAAUAACGGUACCCGAGGAGGAAGCCACGGCUAACUACGUGCCAGCCGCCGCAGUAA
rnacentral:rRNA from 1 species